ACGUAAAAAAAAUGCUAAAAAAACGAAAAAAAAAUCGGAGGAGGCUGCCGGAGAUGAGGCCAUUACGGCUCGCCUUCAGGUGUACUCCUCGGGAUAGGGUCAUUUAAAGAACGAUGGUCAGAACGACGUAAAAAAAAAGGAAAAAAAAACGAAAAAAACAAAAUGGGAGGAGCCUGCCGGAGAUGAGGCCAUUACGUCUCGCCUUCAGGUGUUCUCCUCGAGAUAGGGUCAUUUAAAGAACGAGGGUCAGCACGACGUAAAAAAAAAAA